rnacentral:rRNA from 1 species
GACGAACGCUGGCGGCGUGCUUAACACAUGCAAGUCGAACGGAAAGGCCCUGCUUGCAGGGUACUCGAGUGGCGAACGGGUGAGUAACACGUGGGUGAUCUGCCCUGCACUUCGGGAUAAGCCUGGGAAACUGGGUCUAAUACCGGAUAGGAGCCAUUUUUAGUGUGAUGGUUGGAAAGUUUUUUCGGUGUAGGAUGAGCUCGCGGCCUAUCAGCUUGAUGGUGGGGUAAUGGCCUACCAAGGCGGCGACGGGUAGCCGGCCUGAGAGGGUGGACGGCCACAUUGGGACUGAGAUACGGCCCAGACUCCUACGGGAGGCAGCAGUGGGGAAUAUUGCACAAUGGGCGCAAGCCUGAUGCAGCGACGCCGCGUGGGGGAUGACGGCCUUCGGGUUGUAAACUCCUUUCGCUAGGGACGAAGCUUUUGUGACGGUACCUAGAUAAGAAGCACCGGCUAACUACGUG